GCACACGUUCUGAAAAUCUCAACGGAUUGCCGAUUCCUCUGCCAAGGCUAUGCUGCUUUUGAAACCCAGCGGCAUGCCUUCUAUGUUAUGGAGUAUCUGAGCGGGGGAAACCUAGGAGACGAGUUGGAUAAACGCGGCCGGUUUGAUAUGGACAGAGUCCGGUUCUAUUCAGCAGAGAUUAUUUGUGGCCUGCAAUUCCUGCAUAGCAAGGGGAUCAUCCAUCGGUCAGUAUAGAUUUCUUCAUCUCUAUAA